GAUGAAGAACGUAGCGAAAUGCGAUAAGUAGUGUGAAUUGCAGAAUCCAGUGAAUCAUCGAAUCUUUGAACGCACAUUGCGCCCCUUGGUAUCCCGAGGGGCAUGCCUGUUCGAGCGUCAUUUCACCACUCAAGCCUGGCUUGGUGUUGGGCGACGUCCUCUUUGGGGACGCGCCUCGAAACGCUCGGCGGCGUGGCACCGGCUUUAAGCGUAGCAGAAUCUUUCGCUUUGGAAGUCGGGGCCCCGUCUGCCGGAAGACCUGCUCGCAAGGUUGACCUCGGAUCAGGCAGGGAUACCCGCUGAACUUAAGCAUAUCAAUAAGCGGAGGA
rnacentral:misc_RNA from 1 species